GCCUAACACUGCAAGUCGAACGAACCCUUCGGGGUUAGUGGCGCACGGGUGCGUAACGCGUGGGAACCUGCCUUUAGGUUCGGAAUAACUCAGAGAAAUUUGAGCUAAUACCGGAUAAUGUCUUCGGACCAAAGAUUUAUCGCCUUUAGAUGGGCCCGCGUUAGAUUAGAUAGUUGGUGGGGUAAUGGCCUACCAAGUCGACGAUCUAUAGCUGGUCUGAGAGGAUGAUCAGCCACACUGGGACUGAGACACGNCCCAGACUCCUACGGGAGGCAGCAGUGGGGAAUAUUGGACAAUGGGCGAAAGCCUGAUCCAGCAAUGCCCGCGUGAGUGAUGAAGGCCUUAGGGUUGUAAAGCUCUUUUACCAGGGAUGAUAAUGACAGUCCUGGAGAAUAAGCUCCGGCUACUCCGUGCCAGCAGCCCGCGGUAAUA
rnacentral:rRNA from 1 species